UACGUAGGGUCCGAGCGUUGUCCGGAAUUACUGGGCGUAAAGAGCUCGUAGGUGGUUUGUCACGUUGUUCGUGAAAACUCACAGCUUAACUGUGGGCGUGCGGGCGAUACGGGCAGACUAGAGUACUGCAGGGGAGACUGGAAUUCCUGGUGUAGCGGUGAAAUGCGCAGAUAUCAGGAGGAACACCGGUGGCGAAGGCGGGUCUCUGGGCCGAUACUGACGCUGGAGGAGCGAAAGCGUGGGGAGCGAACAGG
rnacentral:rRNA from 1 species